rnacentral:rRNA from 1 species
GAGUUUGAUCAUGGCUCAGGAUGAACGCUGGCGGCAUGCCUAAUACAUGCAAGUCGAACGAAGUCUUUAGGAAGCUUGCUUCCAAAGAGACUUAGUGGCGAACGGGUGAGUAACACGUAGGUAACCUGCCCAUGUGCCCGGGAUAACUGCUGGAAACGGUAGCUAAAACCGGAUAGGUAUGAGGGAGGCAUCUUCCUCAUAUUAAAGCACCUUCGGGUGUGAACAUGGAUGGACCUGCGGCGCAUUAGCUGGUUGGUGAGGUAACGGCCCACCAAGGCGAUGAUGCGUAGCCGACCUGAGAGGGUGAACGGCCACAUUGGAACUGAGACACGGUCCAAACUCCUACGGGAGGCAGCAGUGGGGAAUAUUGCACAAUGGGCGAAAGCCUGAUGCAGCAACGCCGCGUGAACGAUGAAGGCCUUCGGGUCGUAAAGUUC